CCCCUCGUGCAUCGAGUUUUGAUUUCCUUUGAGUUGGAAACCUUUCCUUUCGCAUAUGGAUCCAAACCCAAUCACCUGGUUUGAAUACAACUUUCUUGCGACCCUUAUUGGCCUGUUUCUCAUAUAUGCUGUUACGCUUCUCAAUAUGCUCACGCGCUUUCACGUGUAUUGAUUUAACCAUUUUAGCCUUCGCUUUUCCAUCUAAAUUAGACAACUCGUUCAAAGGUAAAGGCAUUAAAUCUAAUACAGUUAAUGGAUUAAAACCAUACACAACCUCAAAAGGUGAAUAACCAGUAGAAGAGUGGACUGCU
rnacentral:lncRNA from 1 species